rnacentral:lncRNA from 1 species
CCGAUUCCAAACACAUACAAUACCUUUAUUCAUUUCUCUGUUAUUCACAUAAUCUCCCCAUACGCAGGUACUACCAACGCCACGUAUGGAGUUUGUCAACACGCUGGAUAACAUACGCCACGUGCGACCUCAACAUAUUAUCACAUAAUCUCCCCAUACGCCGAUACUACCAACGCCACGUAUGGGUCUAUUAACACGCCAGAUAACCUACGUCACGUGCGACCUCAACAUACUAUCACAUAAUCUCCCCAUACGCCGGUACUACCAAUGUCACGUAUGGGUCUGUCCGCACGCCGGAUAACCUACGCCACGUGGGACCUAACAAUCAUAUAAUCUCCCUAUACUCCGGUACUACUAAUGCCACAUAUAGGGUCUGUCUCAAAGCCGAAAAAUCCUACGCUACGCGAGACCUCAACAUCAUAUCACAAUAUCUCUCCAUACGCCGAUACUACCAACGCCACGUAUGGAGUCUGUCCGCACACCUGAUAACCUACGCCACGUGGGACCUAACAAUCAUAUAAUCUCCCUAUACGUCGGUACAACUAACGCCACGUAUGGGGUCUGUCUCAAUGCCGGAAAUUCCUACGCCAUGCAAGACCUCAACAUCAUAUCACAAUAUCUCCCCAUAUGCCGGUACUACCAACGCCACGUAUGUGGUUUGUCAACACGCCGG